rnacentral:lncRNA from 1 species
ACAUGAUCUCAUGGGUCUUUUCCAUGUAUGACAUGUGAUGCAUACAUAUAUAUGAGUGCAGUUCUCAGUGAGCCAGGCCAAUGGGGGAGAAUAAACCUUGCUUUCUUUCCAUUUGACUCCCAUAUUUAUAGGCAGGCGUCUUUGGGCUCUCUACAUUCUUUUCUUGAACACAUUUGGAGAGAUUAUUUUUUCUGUGCAUAGUUUUCCCAACUGAGCACUUUGGCAUCUGAGAAAGAGACUCUGAGAGGCAUGGCCCCGUGAGAACUGAGCCCUCCCUCUUAGUUGGCCAGCUCUGCCCCUGCUC